rnacentral:lncRNA from 1 species
GAGUGGAUAUCCAUAGAGGCUGGAUACUUGUGCAGCUAGAAAAAAAAAAUUUCUCUUUCAGAUCUAGAUUUGAAGAAAAAGAUUGCAAAAUAGGUAUACGAUUUGAUCACAAUCUGAAUUUUAGCAUAUAUCAAUUUCAAUACAUGAACUAGAUCCUUGUAGUUUUAUAUUUUUAUGCAUGCAUGAUUCAAAUUAAAAGUAUGUUAAUCUUAUAUUCUACUGCGAUGUUUAGAAAAUAAAAUUUUGAAACACAUAUGCAUGUCCCAAACCCUAAAUUCCAACAUGAAGAUCUCUCUUGAAUGCUGUGGAGGUAUUGAAAC